rnacentral:rRNA from 1 species
AUGUGUUGCCUUGCAGAAUCCAAUCAGGACGGGCUCCUCGGAGGCCUGCUUGUUCCCGGGUUCGACGAACAAUCGUGCAUCAGCCGGUACAAGUCCACCUCCCACCUCAAGAAGCUGGCGCGCUCGCCGUCGACACACCUCGUGAAGCGGCUGCGGGAGCAGGAGGCGCUGCAGAGGCGGUGCGGCCCGGGCACCGAAACAUACCGGCGAGCGGCGGAGCGACUGGGGCCCCGCGGAAACGGCAAUGGCACAACCACGGACGACGACGCUUGCAAGUACCUCGUGCUGGUGCCGUACAGGGGCCUAGGGAACCGGAUACUGGCCAUGGCGUCGGCGUUCCUCUACGCCAUGCUCACCGACCGCGUGCUGCUCGUCCACCGGGGCACGUCGCUGCCCGACCUCUUCUGCGAGCCGUUCCAGGAGACGUCGUGGCUGCUGCCACCGGACUUCCCGCUCGGGGACCUCGAGAACCUGACCGGCGAGGUGCCGGAGAGCUACCGGAACCUGGCGCGGGAGUACGGCCGGGCCGCGUCCGUGUCCGACCUCCCGUACGUCUUCGUCGACCUCGACCACGCCUGCACCUACCACGACAAGCUCUUCUACUGCGACGACCACCGGGAGUUCCUCCACCGCGCGCCGUGGCUGGUGAUGAGGACGGACGGCUACUUCGUGCCGGCGCUCUUCCUGAACCCGGCCUACCAGGAGGAGCUCGACAAGCUGUUCCCGCGGAAAGACUCGGUGUUCUACCUCCUGGCGCGCUACCUCUUCCACCCGACCAACAAAGUCUGGGGACUCAUCACCAGGUUCUACAAUUCGUACCUGAAAGAUUCGGACGAACGGCUGGGCAUCCAGGUGAGGGUGUUCGACGGCGACACGCCGUUCAAGCACGUCCUGGACCAGAUCCUCGCGUGCACCUCACAGGAGCAUCUGCUGCCCGAGGUGGUGGCGCAGGACCCGGGCCCGCCGGCCUCGACCGCCGGCGCGCGGUCGAAAGCCGUCCUGAUGACCGGCCUGAGCUCGUGGUACUUCGAGAACAUCCGGGGGAGGUACUGGCAGUCGGCGACGGCCGCCGGCGAGGUCGUCAGCGUGCACCAGCCGAGCCACGAGGAGCACCAGCUCACCGGCGAGGCCACGCACGACAUGAAGGCGCUGGCCGAGAUGUACCUGCUGAGCAUGACCGACGCGCUCGUCACCAGCGGCUGGUCCACGUUCGGGUAUGUCGGCCACGGCCUCGGCGGGCUCACCCCGUGGAUCAUGUUCAAGCCUGAGAACCUCACCACGCCCGACCCGCCGUGUCGCCGGGCCGCGUCCAUGGAGCCGUGCUUGCACGGGCCUCCCUUCUACGACUGCAGGGCCAGGGGUGGCGCCGAUACCGGGAAGCUCGUGCCCCAUGUCCGGCACUGCGAAGACAUGAGCUGGGGACUGAAACUUGUUCACCCGGAAUAG